rnacentral:lncRNA from 1 species
ACAUGUGUGUGUGUGUUUGAGUUGAAGACUAUGUAUAGGAAUUCAAUUCAGCAGACAUGUGGAUGCUUACCACAUGCACUGCCUCCACUUGCUUUUGCCUGUGUGCACCUGCUCAUGCAACAUCUUCAUGGCAAACCCAGGGGCACAUGCACUGGGGUAGUGCAGGAUCCAACGGUGCCAUCUGCACCCAGCAGACUUUCCAGGAGAGAAGAUUGACUGAGCACUCAGCCAUCAAUGUCAGCCUGUAGUGGAAGGCUCUAGGGCAAAAUUCUUUUAUGGGCAUCGCAGAACAAGUCUUCAUUGAACACUGUGAACCAGACAAGUGGGAAGGUGGAUGAAGAGCUAAUUCACUGAAACAAGAUGAGAUGCCCGAGAAUGUUCCCUCCCCAACUCAGAAUCCUUUGCAAAACCACCAGGAUCUUGGACAAAGAGAGCUUGGAAGCAAGGAAGACAGAUACAUCAGGACGGUGCCUAGGCAGUCUGCAGCUGAUGGUCCUCUAUCCACUUCAUAAUCUUUACUGUGUGCCAGUGAACAAGAGCCCCAGGUGCCCACCCUCCUCAGAGACAGUUCUGUGCGAAGGAUAGACCAAACCAAGCAAGCAGACAAAUAAAUCACAGUAAUUGUAUGAGGAGGAAAAUCAGCAAGGAAACCAGCAGUCAGUGUGCGGAGAGCUGUUCCCCAGAUGGAGUCAAGGAAGUCUUCCUGCAGAGGUGACGUGAUUGAGACGGGAGUUGGGGAAGGUGCACUGGAAGCUGGGUGGGUCUCAGAGGGCAGCCUGGUGGUUUAUUCGGCCUGGUUGUGUGUGCCAGGCACGGCCGAGGGCACUAAAGGAAGGGUGCCUCACUGCAGAGGAGGAGGAAGCUCCAGUGCCGGCAGGCUCCUGGGAUGGAGUAAGGACAUGUGGGUGUCGGGAUGUGAUUCUGGUGAAGCAUUUGAGCCCUACCACUCCAAAACCUGAGUUCAAGAACUCACCCACUACAUAUGAGCAGUGUGGACUUGUGAAAAUUAACCUCUCUUAUCCUUGGCUUUCUUUUUGGUACAGUGGAGUUGAUGAAAAGCAUCAGCUUCAGAGGAUUGGAGGAAAGGCACGUAGAGUGCUGAUGACAGGGCCUGGCACACAGCAGGAGCUCAACCAAUGCUCAGCGCUGAGAAGGGACUCACUGUGCUUAGCAAUAUUGCUGCGGGAAAGCCAGAUUGUCCCUUCAGGAUCCAUCAAUGCCGAGGGCAAGGAGAGAAAAGCAUUUGGGAUUUUCUUUUAUGGGUCUCUUCUUUCAAUUUCAUUUUCAUGUAUCUCAAUUUUUGUUGACUGUAUUCACCACUACUUCUUGACUGUUUUUUAUGUUCUAGGCACUUUUCACAAAUAUCUAUUUAAUCCUUAGU